UGCAAGUCGAGCGGUAACAGGUCCAGCUUGCUGGAUGCUGACGAGCGGCGGACGGGUGAGUAAUGCAUAGGAAUCUGCCCGAUAGUGGGGGAUAACCUGGGGAAACCCAGGCUAAUACCGCAUACGUCCUACGGGAGAAAGGGGGCUCCGGCUCCCGCUAUGGGAUGAGCCUAUGUCGGAUUAGCUAGUUGGUGAGGUAACGGCUCACCAAGGCCACGAUCCGUAGCUGGUCUGAGAGGAUGAUCAGCCACAUCGGGACUGAGACACGGCCCGAACUCCUACGGGAGGCAGCAGUGGGGAAUAUUGCACAAUGGGGGAAACCCUGAUGCAGCCAUGCCGCGUGUGUGAAGAAGGCCUUCGGGUUGUAAAGCACUUUCAGUUGUGAGGAAAAGUUAGUAGUUAAUACCUGCUAGCCGUGACGUUAACAACAGAAGAAGCACCGGCUAACUCCGUGCCAGCAGCCGCGGUAAUACGGAGGGUGCGAGCGUUAAUCGGAAUUACUGGGCGUAAAGCGCACGCAGGCGGUUUGUUAAGCUAGAUGUGAAAGCCCCGGGCUCAACCUGGGAUGGUCAUUUAGAACUGGCAGACUAGAGUCUUGGAGAGGGGAGUGGAAUUCCAGGUGUAGCGGUGAAAUGCGUAGAUAUCUGGAGGAACAUCAGUGGCGAAGGCGACUCCCUGGCCAAAAGACUGACGCUCAUGUGCGAAAGUGUGGGUAGCGAACAGGAUUAGAUACCCUGGUAGUCCACACCGUAAACGCUGUCUACUA
rnacentral:rRNA from 1 species